rnacentral:rRNA from 1 species
UACGGGGGGGGCAAGCGUUGUUCGGAAUUACUGGGCGUAAAGGGCGCGUAGGCGGCCCGCUAAGUCGAACGUGAAAUCCCCGGGCUCAACCCGGGAACUGCGUCCGAUACUGGUGGGCUUGAAUCCGGGAGAGGGAUGCGGAAUUCCAGGUGUAGCGGUGAAAUGCGUAGAUAUCUGGAGGAACACCGGUGGCGAAGGCGGCAUCCUGGACCAACACUGACGCUGAGUGAGCGAAAGCCAGGGGAGCAAACGGG